rnacentral:rRNA from 1 species
GACAGAGGAUGCAAGCGUUAUCCGGAAUGAUUGGGCGUAAAGCGUCUGUAGGUGGCUUUUUAAGUCCGCCGUCAAAUCCCAGGGCUCAACCCUGGACAGGCGGUGGAAACUACCAAGCUGGAGUACGGUAGGGGCAGAGGGAAUUUCCGGUGGAGCGGUGAAAUGCGUAGAGAUCGGAAAGAACACCAAUGGCGAAAGCACUUUACUGGGCUAUUACUGACACUGAGAGACGAAAGCUAGGGGAGCGAAUGGG